ensembl:lncRNA
CAGAGGGAGAGGUGGAGAAAGUGGAGUGGAGUCAACCCAGCAUUAACCCUGUGGGGCUCAGAACGAGGUGGCUUCCUGACCAGGCUCCUUCCCCCAGGACUCAACACCAGGCCCCUUCUCCCAGUACUCAACACAUGGCUCCUUCCCCCAGUACUCAACACCAGGCUCCUUCCCCCAGUACUCAACACCAGGCUCCUUCCCCCAGUACUCAACACCAGGCUCCUUCUCCCAGUACUCAACACCAGGUAACUGACCAGGCUCCUUCUCCCAGUACUCAACACCAGGCUCCUUCUCCCAGUACUCAACACCAGGCUCCUUCCCCAGUACUCAACACCAGGUAACUGACCAGGCUCCUUCUCCCAGUACUCAACACCAGGUAACUGACCAGACUCCUUCCCCCAGUACUCAACACCAGGCUCCUUCUCCCAGUACUCAACACCAGGCUCCUUCCCCCAGUACUCAACACCAGGCUCCUUCCCCCAGUACUCAACACCAGGUAACUGACCAGGCUCCUUCUCCCAGUACUCAACACCAGGUAACUGACCAGACUCCUUCCCCCAGUACUCAACACCAGGUAACUGACCAGGCUCCUUCUCCCAGUACUCAACACCAGGCUCCUUCUCCCAGUACUCAACACCAGGUAACUGACUGAUCAUGUUUGUCUUUAAGGGGAUACAUAUAGUACAUAUAACGGAUAAUGUAUUGUCCAAUGUCUGUUCUAAAACCCCAGAGGCAGUGAAGAGAGACGGGACAUGCAGGUAGAGAGGACGCAUUAGAAGGGUGUGGGUUGGGAUUCAAACCUGGCAACUAUCUGUUCUGAAGGCAGCACCAGUAACCACUAGACCACCCCAGGCUGUAGUUUGUAUAAAGGCUGUGCUGUA